CAGUAGCCACGGUAAUACGAAGGGUGCAAGCGUUACUCGGAAUUACUGGGCGUAAAGCGUGCGUAGGUGGUUGUUUAAGUCUGUUGUGAAAGCCCUGGGCUCAACCUGGGAAUUGCAGUGGAUACUGGGCAACUAGAGUGUGGUAGAGGGUAGUGGAAUUCCCGGUGUAGCAGUGAAAUGCGUAGAGAUCGGGAGGAACAUCCAUGGCGAAGGCAGCUACCUGGACCAACACUGACACUGAGGCACGAAAGCGUGGGGAGCAAACAGGAUUAGAUACCCCCGUAGUCCCUGUCUCUUAUAC
rnacentral:rRNA from 1 species